UGAGGAAUUUUGCGCAAUGGGGGAACCCUGACGCAGCAACGCCGCGUGGGUGAUGAAGGCCUUCGGGUCGUAAAGCCCUGUCAGGUGGGAAGAAUGUCCCGGGACUGAACAGGUUCCGGGAGUGACGGUACCACCAGAGGAAGCACCGGCUAACUCCGUGCCAGCAGCCGCGGUAAUACGGAGGGUGCAAGCGUUAUUCGGAAUUACUGGGCGUAAAGCGCGUGUAGGCGGCCCUGCAAGUCUGAUGUGAAAGCCCUGGGCUUAACCCGGGAAGUGCAUUGGAAACUGUCUUUCUUGAGUACUGGAGAGGAAGGGGGAAUUCCCGGUGUAGAGGUGAAAUUCGUAGAGAUCGGGAGGAAUACCAGUGGCGAAGGCGCCCUUCUGGACGGUUACUGACGCUGAGACGCGAAAGCGUGGGGAGCAAACA
rnacentral:rRNA from 1 species